CGUUACAGGUUCUCGGUGUGCUUCUGCCAAAACCCAAAUUUUCUAUGGUUGACCUCGGAUCAGGUAGGGAUACCCGCUGAACUUAAGCAUAU
rnacentral:rRNA from 1 species